rnacentral:rRNA from 1 species
GGCGAACGGGUGAGUAACACGUGAGCAACCUGCCCCUGACUCUGGGAUAAGCGCUGGAAACGGCGUCUAAUACUGGAUACGAACCACGAAGGCAUCUUCAGUGGUUGGAAAGAAUUUCGGUUGGGGAUGGGCUCGCGGCCUAUCAGCUUGUUGGUGAGGUAAUGGCUCACCAAGGCGUCGACGGGUAGCCGGCCUGAGAGGGUGACCGGCCACACUGGGACUGAGACACGGCCCAGACUCCUACGGGAGGCAGCAGUGGGGAAUAUUGCACAAUGGGCGCAAGCCUGAUGCAGCAACGCCGCGUGAGGGAUGACGGCCUUCGGGUUGUAAACCUCUUUUAGCAGGGAAGAAGCGAAAGUGACGGUACCUGCAGAAAAAGCGCCGGCUAACUACGUGCCAGCAGCCGCGGUAAUACGUAGGGCGCAAGCGUUAUCCGGAAUUAUUGGGCGUAAAGAGCUCGUAGGCGGUUUGUCGCGUCUGCUGUGAAAUCCGGAGGCUCAACCUCCGGCCUGCAGUGGGUACGGGCAGACUAGAGUGCGGUAGGGGAGAUUGGAAUUCCUGGUGUAGCGGUGGAAUGCGCAGAUAUCAGGAGGAACACCGAUGGCGAAGGCAGAUCUCUGGGCCGUAACUGACGCUGAGGAGCGAAAGGGUGGGGAGCAAACAGGCUUAGAUACCCUGGUAGUCCACCCCGUAAACGUUGGGAACUAGUUGUGGGGGUCCAUUCCACGGAUUCCGUGACGCAGCUAACGCAUUAAGUUCCCCGCC